rnacentral:rRNA from 1 species
UACGGAGGGUGCAAACGUUGCUCGGAAUCAUUGGGCGUAAAGCGCACGUAGGCGGCUUGUUAAGUCGGAUGUGAAAGCCCCAGGCUCAACCUGGGAAGUGCAUUCGAAACUGGCGAGCUUGAAUAUGGAAGAGGGUCGCGGAAUUCCCGGUGUAGAGGUGAAAUUCGUAGAUAUCGGGAGGAACACCAGUGGCGAAGGCGGCGACCUGGGCCAAUAGUUGACGCUGAGGUGCGAAAGCGUGGGGAGCAAAGCAGGGAGUUAAGCAAACCCCAUGAUGA